UUAAAAACAGAGUGCCAAAACGUCGCAGUCCAGCUAUGGUUGCCAUCUACGUUACACUGACAAGAAUAACUAUUACACAAAACUUUCUUUUUAUAAUCAUAAUAACUCAAUAUCUUAACCCACCCCCCAAGUAUUAUUUCUUUUUAGAAAAAAGUAGUUUAAAUGAACCGUAUGUAACAACCCACUCUUUUUCAUUUAAAACAAAUACUACCCCAGAUAGCUUCACUUCACCUGUGGCUAGCUUGAGUUAAUUAAAUACUGAAAGACGUAAUCAUUUUCUGGUUUACAUAUUUAGUCCCUUUACCAAAUAACAACUUUAAUAGAAAGCCACGUCUCAUAUAUAGCUUCAUAUAUCCCAAUUACUUUAUUUACUUAUAUAACUCUCUCUCUCUCUCCAAAACUCAAGACCCUUCUGAGUUUUGAUUCAUAUCCCUUCGGCUUCAACCAAUACUAGGAAUAUAAUAUUUUACUUGAGUGUUUUUAUUUUGAUGGGAUCGAACAAGGCAGAGAUUAUUAGAUCAUCAUCAGAUACAAAUCAGAAAGUAGUGGAGAAGAUUGUGAAGGUAAGCAUAGGUUGUUUUGUGUCUCUUUUAGUGAGUUUGGGAGGUGGGUUGAUACUAGCUUGGUGGGAAUCUGAAUAUCACGCUGAUAAUAGACAGCUAUGGAUGGUGCCCUUUGGACUCAUUCUCCUUAUUACCCCACUCAUUAUUUGGGUCUCUUUGGUCUUUUCUCAUGCCUCUGCUCAUCACCAAACUGUUACAAACAACAUUAAUAUUUCAGUACCCGCUCUUCCUUCACUGCCCGCUUAUACAUCAUCCUCUCUUGACCCUGAAAAAUUAUGAUACUUACAUGAUUCUCCUUUCAUCUUUUUCCUGACAUUUUUUUAUGUCAUGAUUGUUCAAAUUUUAGUUCAGCAAACUGGAAAAACAGAUUGGAAAAAUAAAUGUAUUAUGAGUUUGGUCAAUGCCAAUAUGAAGAUGGACUAUAAGUUGGUGAUGUAUACAUGUGUGGAAAAUAUUAUGGCUACUUCUACUUGUAAUGGGCAUUAAUAUUAUUUAGCUACAAUAAUGAUAUAUCUAUUUAUCUAUA